rnacentral:lncRNA from 1 species
AUGACCAGUCGAUCAGUGUGUGUAAAGACUAGCAACUACAGCUUCCUUCUUUCCCAGAUGUUUCCAGCCUAUGACAGAGAAGAAGCCAGGCCUGGAUGGCAGUCAGAAACAGGAGGCCAAGAGGAGAGGGAGGUCCAGAAGCUAAGCCAGGAGAGGAUUUCAAAGACAGAGAAAGGCACCAUUAAGUUGAAAAUAAGAUCCAGAACUCGAGUGAACAUACGCCAGCUCCUGAGAGGAGAAGAAAGUUGACUUUGGGUUAGGAGCUGCCCCCAGGCCUUGGUCACCCUCAUCUCCAACCUGGAUUGAAAUAUGUAUCAGCUGUUUAAUACCCACAACUUGAGUCUGUCUGAGAAGUCUGUCUGAAAAGGGCGUCAGCGGGGCUUGGCAUCCUCAGGAGGCUUGGUACUGGCACACACAGGGACCGCAGGGCAUAACAUCUGUGCACUGGGCCAGUCACUUCUUUGUGUCUCUAUUUUCCAGGUGAGCAAACAGAGAGCAGGAUAGGGCAGGCGCACCUGAGAGCUGUAAGGAGCCCCACUGGUAUCGCCAUAGCCAGCCCUGUGGCCGGCCUGCUAUGCUUAAAGGUGUCCUCACUUAUGUGGUUGCCAGAACUCCUGUUCUUCACCUUGGGUUGGAAUUGGGGGAAGGAGGGGACAUAGAAGGCUGCAGUGGGGAGGGAUUUUGCACUUCCUCCAGGCCACAGCAGAAUACAGAGGCAGAGAUGAGGGACUAAGAGGCAAGGCUACAACUCCGCUCACUGAGGAUGACAGGCAAACAUUUGGACCCCUGUAUCGGCUGGUUCUUGUGUCAACUGGACACGAGCUGGAGUUAUCACAGAGAAAGGAGCCUCCCUUGAGGAAAGGCCUCCAUGAGAUCCAGCUGUAAGGCAUUUUCUCAAUUAGUGAUCAGAGUGGGAGGGCCCAUGGUGGGUGGUGCCAUCCCUGGGCUGGAAGUCUUGGGUUCUAUAAGAGAGCAAGCUGAGCAAGCCAGGAGAAGCAAGCCAGUAAUUAACAUCCCUCCAUGGGCUCUGUAUCAACUCCUGCUUCCUGAUCUGUUUGAGUUCCUGUCCUGACUUCCUUUGGUGAUGAACAGCAAUGUAGAAGUGUAAGCUGAAUAAACCCUUUCCUCCCCAACUUGCUUCUUGGUCA